GGAAGUAAAAGUCGUAACAAGGUUUCCGUAGGUGAACCUGCGGAAGGAUCAUUAUUGUAUAACCGAGGUGCGAGGGCUGUCGCUGACCCGAAAGGUCGUGCACGCCCGAGUGCCCUCACACACAUCCAUCUCACCCCUAUGUGCACCACCGCGAGGGUCCCCCUUUGGCUUGUUCGGAGGGGGGCUUACGUUUUCACACAAACUUUGUAUGCAGUGUAGAAUGUAUUUUUUGUUUUUGCGAUCACGCAAUCAAUACAACUUUCAACAACGGAUCUCUUGGCUCUC
rnacentral:misc_RNA from 1 species